rnacentral:ncRNA from 2 species
GCAAAACUAUAACUCCGAGCCACAAGACCUACGAUCUUUACAAAGACUAUGGUCUCCGGCCGAUAGGGUUGCACUGGAAACGGUACAACCUUCCGAUGCUCGUAAAGGAGUCCACAUGAAUGCACC